GUUCUUGUGAUUUCUAGUUUCAUUGUGGGUUUUUUUGGUCUUGUUCAUGGAUCUGCUGAAGACAAACUUGUUGAAGUUAUUGCUUCUAAAAGAGGUGAAACUGCUACAAAUUAUGGAAGGAGAAAUCCAUACUCCAUGCAGUAGGAUUCUUUCAUUAUGGAAUAAUUUCUGCAACCACAGUGGACUGUAUAUGAAGUGGAUGCACAGACCUAUAUCUCUGCCAAAUGCACGUAUUUCAGUGUUGGACUGGAUCACAUCUGGUUGUUUUUUGUUGUUGUUGUUUGUUUUGUUUUACCCUUUCAAAAGUUAAAUUUGAUCUUCUAGAAUUGAGAACUAAAAAGGAAACCAACCCGAUUCACAGAAAAAGUAACUGCAGCAUGUUAUACAUAAGUAUAUUUCAUAGUAACCCAGGAAUGUUUGGAUAAAAAGCUCUUGCACAGUGAAAAGAUUUUGCACUGUUUUUCUAAGGUCUGUAAGUUAAACUCACUGUGAAUUUUUAUGAUGUCAGUGCAAUACUUUUAUUUGUAAGGGUGCUUUUAAAAUACCUGUGUAAAACUACUGGUGCAAAGUUAUGAAUACUGAAGUUGUUUCUAGUGUAAAUACGCAAUUUACAGUGACUCCUAUGAAGUUUCAUCAUUAUUUGGGAAUA
rnacentral:lncRNA from 1 species